ensembl:lncRNA
CUUCGUUUGUUUGUUAACUUGGUCCCAUGUGCUGAGUAUCUUAUCUAUAAAUGAGAGCCAGCUACAUAAGAAUAGCUGAGAGGCCUUGGGAAAUCAUUUAUCCCAAACUGGGUUUUUCCUCUCCUCUUCUACCUCCCUCCUUUGAAUGAAAAUUAUGGUAGCGAUCUGGCCCAAUGCCAUAGGUUUGGAUUUUUAAAUUUUCCUUUUUCCUUUUGUUUAUGGGGUAAUGGGGGAAAAGUGGCAGAUUUAUAUGACUUUUCACUCAAAUUGAUUAUGUGCCAGUUUAUAUUGACUCCGUAUGCAUGAGUAUUUGUGCAACAGAAGCACAACCAAGUAUGUAUAUACACACAGAGCACAUGACCCCAGAGCCUGGGCCCCCUAACGGGUUGCUCCUGCCCCCACCAGCGCCCUCUUAGAGUCCUUCAGCCACAGGCGCCUCUGCUCUUUUCUUAAAACCCUUCUGGGAAGAUUUCUGAGCCUCUCUUGGCAACAUUUCCUUACAUCUAAUAACCCCCAUCAUCAGCAAAUUGUCUUCCUUAUUUGGAAAUGAACACCCUCAGGCUCCCUUUUACUGCACUGCUCUUUCUCGGCACUAGGAGAAGGUGAGAAGAGCUAGUCACACAUUCUUUGUAUUUUAAAAAGCCAAACAUCCGUAUUCACAAAAAUCACUGCAAAAUGACCCCAAUUCAGCCUUCUUUACCCGGAGCUGAAUUACCUUCCUUCUCUCAAUGUUUCUGCCCAUGUUUUAAUGGUGUGAUCUUUCCAGUACUCCACGUUAAGUUCUCUGCAUUCCUAUGUAGUUGUGGCAGUCAGAACAACACACAGUCCUUGAAUAAGGGUCCAGCCUUUUGGUUUAAGGGGAAAUUGUAUUUCACACAUUCCCCUAAUCAUUUCUCAUAACUUUUUAAAACUACAGCGCUUCACUGUUACUUCCAUGUAGCCAGUUUUGUUUGCCUUUGGGAUCUGGGAUUUGGCUGUGUCCAUACUAGAAGUUGGCUCUCACUUCUUUGAUGUCUUUGAACAACCCAACUAGACAACUGAAGCUCUGAAAUUAAGAGUUGGGCUUUCUAAACUGUCUUUCUUGUUUACAUCCUUGACCUGUAUGGACACAACCAAAAAGAAAGUGUUAAUAGCCAUCCAUCCAUGCGACUCUGUAUUCUAUUAAUGUACUCAUAGUUUUUUCAUUGAUUUGUGGUAAAUGAAGAUUAAAGGGCAAGAUUUGACUUUCAGCAUUCCUCAUGCAUUUCCGUGGGAAAUGAAAAAUAUUUUUUUCCAUCCUUAAUUGUGUGCCAAGAGCUCCUAAUUUUUUUUUAAAUUUUGUGUGUGGGGGUAUGUGUAUAUGUACCACAGAUAAUAAACACAACUGGAUGAUGUCUAUGGGAGGGAGACAUAGUGACCCAUUGCUUCUUUUUGAAAUCUUUCAUUGAUGCACAUCAUUAUGUAAGAGGUGUGUCUUGAUACUUGUUAUUAGUCCCUAUUAACAUAUGUAUAGCUUUCUGAAUUUUUGUUAAUUCUUACCUUCACACCUCGGCAACAGACUCAGCCAAUGUUUUUUUUGUCCUGAUGGUUCAAAUGGACUUAACAAUUUUUGCUGAAGUGAAAAAAGAAAUAUCAUUUUUGGAGUUGUGUUGUAAGACAAUUAUAUUUAUGAAUUUAAGUGCUGUUUUUUCAUACAUUAGUAUAUCAGCAGACAUUUGAUCUUAACUACAACAUAGCUUUGUAGAGCCUACCAGUAUGUCUUUAGUGUUUUCAAUGUGUCUUUAUACCAUUUCAUAUUGGUCAUAUUGGUAAUAGAAGAUCCUGCAAAGGAUCAUAGAACUUAAUGGGUCAAGAAGUUGAAUUUGGUGAAAAUAUCCCCAAACUCACUUUGCCCAAAUGAUUCUUAUGGUCCUACUGGAAGUUCUGUCAAAGAGUUCGGGGUCUAACUAAAAUGUCCAGAGUCCCAACUUUCUUAAAUUUUAGACCUGAUUGAAAUGGCUUCAAGAUAGAAACACACUAGUAAGAAUUGGAGAACUAGUAAGAUGGCCAUCAACUCACUAUUCCUACUAUGUACGUACUUUAAAUAGGAAAUGAAACAUUGCAGAGGAAAUGUUCAUGGCAUUUCUCUGUUCUUCGACCUGUCUUUUUUUUUUUUUUUUUUUUCCCUGUUUAGGCUGUCUUUAUACCCCCGGGGACGGGGGUUGGGGGGGGCGGGAAACAGUGGUGGCAAGUCUGUUUAAAGUAAUAAUAACAUUUUAAAUCGGGGUCAGCUCAAACCAAAUAGUUCAUAUAGCUGAAACAGCAACAGAGUGUUCAUUUGUGUGGUUGUUGGUAUGGAAAUAACAGUGAAAGUUAGUCAUUCAGUCGUGUCCAACUCUUUGUGACACAAUGGAUUGUAGCCCGCCAGGCUCCUUUGUCCAUGGAAUUUUCCAGGCAAGAAUACUGGAGUGGGUGACCAUUCCUUUCUCCAGGGGAUCUUCCCAACCCAGGGAUUGAACCCGGGUCUCCUGCAUUGCAGGCAGAUUUGUAAACCUGGUCAGUAAAAGUCUCUGCAGAGGCACCAGGUCCAUGCGCAUCUUCAGUCUUAUUUUAAGUGGAAUUGAUGUGAGGGCUAUGUGGCCUGCAACACUGGAAAUGAAUUCUGGGUAAGUGAACUAGAAGAUUAAAUACUAUUGUGGCCCUGCACCAUGUAUCAUAUUCAUUUCCUCAAACUUAAAAUAGUUUCAAGAAUUUUUAAUUCAUUUCUGGAUACAAUAUAUAUGGUUUGCUUCUUGAUUACUGGUAAGGACAAAGGCUGAUUUGGAGAGACCAGUAGCAUCAAAUGGGUCAAAUGAAUGAGGAAUCAUAUGCACAGAGACUUUGGAAAAUUUUGCCAUGCUAAAAUCCAGUGAGCUUGUGGAGGUCAUUCUCUAAGGUAUGUGGGUCUUCUGAAGUCAGAACUAUAUUUAUAAAGUCCUCUGACCCACUAUCAAAAAGGGAGUGAUCUGUAUUCAGCAGGAAAGGGGGAAGACAGGAAAAUAAAACUGUUGGAUCAUGGUGGUAGUGUGUUCUCCCUUCCUCUGCUAAGAAAAAAAACUGCAUUGAGAUGUGGCCGUAAAACAACAAAGUGGCUUCCAAAAUAUGCAGUGAUGUUAUCCUUUGUACUUGUAGGCACAGUUAUCUUCCUGGAAAUGCAUGCAUGGUGAAUUACAAUAAAAGGGGAACAGUGCACAGAUCGUUAGUGUUCCCUUUGUUCUUUAUUCCUCCAUAGCUAUAACGUGUCUACUCCCAACGGCUUCAUGUGAGGCGGGGGCACAUGUAUAAAUGGGGAGCUAACAAGGAAUUUCUCAUUUUUUGUUAUUGGUCUUGCUUGAUUCAUGGGCACCUUGCUUGCUUGAUUCACAGACACCUUUACCCAUAGCACAGAUGUGUACUGUUUACUCUGGGUCCUCUUAGUUGCCACUGCUUGAGCUUCGGGAUUAACUUUGUUUCUCAGGGUUAGAUUCCUCUCUGCUUAUUGCUUUGUUGGUGCCUAGCAAAACAGGCUAAAGUGAGACAAAGAAAAGGCAUACAUGGUGUUUUGCAAAACUGCUUGACACCAACUCCCAAAGUGGGAGACAAACUUUGAUUCUCAUAUAUUUUUCUCUGUUACAUUUUCAACUUUUCAACUUUGUAUUUAUCAUAGUGGUUUAACCCAGAGCAUUUAAAUGCUGGUAUUUUCUGGCACUUUCUAUCAUGCAGUGGGACUUGACUAGUCUUGGUCAUCUGGAUUAUCUUUCCUAGAGUCAAGACUCUACACACUUUCAGGAAGAAUCCUUUGUCAACCUCCACGUGACAUAGCAAUUUUCAGAGGAAAAAUGAUGAGAGUUAUUUUCCCCCAGGACCAUGACAGAUAAAUGUUUUUGCCAAUUUGCAUGCUGGGUUAUAGGGUCAGCAUGGGCCGUUUUUCUCUUAAUGUCUUGGUAUUGUUGGCAUCUUGCAAUCUUGAUGACUCAAUUUAUUUAUUUUCUUUUAUACUGUCAAAAUAAUACACAAGAGACAGCAUUAGAGUGAGCAUUCUGUAUUCUAAGUUAGAAUGGAGUUAGAUGUCAUUUGUACAGGACUGUACAAUGAUUAAUAUCUGCAGAGAAAUUAGACCAAAUGAAACCUGCUGAAAUGGGUUUGAUUUAUAUUGCCUUCAUCAUUCUGAUUUUAGAUGAAAUGGUUAUUGCUCUCCACCCCUGCUGAAAGAAAAAGAGUGUUAAGCUUUAAUAAUCACAGCUUUGUGAUGCAAGCACAAAGCUACUUUGAAAUGUUGUUUUUCUCAUCUUGCCAUAUACACUGGAAUGGAGAUUCACCCCUCAGUGACCUCCAUUGCAGAAGUGUUGGCAGUGUUUCCAGUACUCAGCAUGCGGAAAGUCAUUUGUAGCGCUUGUAAAAACGCAGAUCCCCAACCUAAUCCCAGAAAGUCUAAUCUAGAAACUUCAAAGGGGGGCAAGGAACCUGCAUUUGGGGCUUUCAUCCUUAAUGGUUUCUAUGGGAUGGUCUGUGGACCUUCCUUUGAGAAACUCUGGUGUUUAGGGACUAGGCAGAGGUCACCAUUACUCUUACUUCCUAGUGGCACUCCCUCUCACUUUUCACUACAGAUGAGUCAGAGCCUGCAUAAUUCAUUAUCUUAAGGGAAAAAAAAAAAAAGAAAACAAAGAAGAAAGUCCUAGGACUAGGGCCGGGCAGAUUUCCAUAGUUGGUUUGCCCUUUUAUCUGCUUGUCACUCAUGACCUCCUCUCCAUUUUGUGCAUGUUUGAUGUUUGUACCUUUUUGUCCCCAAACUGAAAACCUGCAUCACUGUAGUGGUAUGACUGGGUAGAUGGGACCAUAUCUCUGAGUGAGAUGUGUACUAAUGAUACCCAACAAGGAACAAAGAUAAUGCCCUUUUCCGAAGAGACUUGUUCAUCUCUAGGCUCAUUUACAGUUUGCAUCAGAGGAACUUCAGAGUGAUCCAAAAUUUAAUGGAGUGUGUGGCCCCAAAAGGGGUUCCAAUAACUGCACAUACAAACCACCAAAAUGAGUAUGGAACGUUGAAUGAAUUUAGCUGUGUAUCACGAAGAAAAUCCUGGGUCAUUGUACUGCUUACUUUGUCCACUUUGACUCAAGCAAUAUCAAGAAACCCUCAGAGAGCUGAUGACCCUGAACCUCAACAUUAACUAAAAAUGUCAAGCAAAGUCCAUAAAGAAGAGUACAUUUUCAAAAAAGAAAUAAGGAGUGGAUUAAAAAAUUUCAUUUGUAAUGAUAUGAAGUUCUCGAAUUUUUCAGUCACUCUGACUAGGAGAGAUGGCUCUACUAUAAUUAUUCAAAAGAAAAAAAAAAAAUUUGGAGGUUUUCAGGGAUCCAGUUGAUCCUAUCCAUAAAACAGAGUAACUGGAGAGGUACCAAAUCUGCCCCCCACCAACCCACUACAAUAAAUAGAGAAUAAAUGACUUAAAUUCAUGCUUGUCAUAAUCAUUAAUUAAUAUUUAAGUAAAAACUAAUAUCAAAGGAAAGUGAAGAAUGGUCAGUGAAACUAAUGUACUUGAACCACGAAUUAUUUUGGCCAAGAAUUUUUUUUUUUAAUCUUAAACUGGAUUUAGUUUUCUUUCCCUCCUUUAUUUCCCAAUGGAUCUCUUUAUUCCUCAGCUUCCUAAACUUUAAACAAUGUUCUUCUUGUUUGUGAGAAAAGUUGUAUUGUUUAUUGAGUAAAGAAUUUUUAGUUCCUAAACUAUCUUCUUUGCUUUAUUUAGGGAAUUUACUUUUAAAAGGCUUAAGAAAAAUGUGUCCCAGUCCAAUGACUAUCCAGGGGUUUGUCCUGGAGGAAGGAGGAGGAUUUAGUAAGUCUCCUCUCUCCAGCGACCUCUUCCAUCUUGUCAGUUUAUUCUUAGAAUUGACCUUUAGCUAAUUUACCUGUGUUUGCACAAUAAAAAUCAACAUAACUUCAGACUCUCACUGCUGAUGUUGGCUUCAUCCAUCACAAAUGAAAGAGGAUUGAUGCAUAACUAAGUAGUGGAGGAGAACUGCUUUAUAAUUGUGUCAGUGUGUGUGUGUGUGUGUGUGUGUAUGUGUAGGUAUAGACACGUACAACUUUUACGUCAGUUUUGGGUUGGUGACUGGUGUCCACGGUAAUGCUACUCAAGUGCAGGAAUAUUCAAUGCUAUUCAAUCUCUGGUCACUAAAUUUAACAGCUUUUAAUUCAACCCAGUGGUUUGUCUUUACUGUGGGUAUGAGUACCUGGGAAGGUUGAGUAAAGCUGGUCUCCUGAUACAAAAUUCAAACAUUACAGAUUUCUGGAUGAAAAUCAAAACUUGUUUUCAUUCACAUAGUCACUAGAGGCAUCAUACUCAACUUAGUUGUUAAUUGCUCAGUCAUGUUCAACUCUUUGCGACCCCACAGACUGCAGCACACCAGGUUCCUCUGUCCAUGGAAUUCUCUAGGAAAGAACAACUGGAGUGGGUUGCCAAUUCCUUCUCCAGGGGAUCUUCCCAACCCAGGGAUCAAACCCACAUCUCCUGCAUGGCAAAUGGAUUCUUUAUCAUCUGAGCCACCAGGGAGGAAAGAAAAAGAAAGCUUUGAAAGCUGAAAUAUGCAUGGAAUUCACAUUGACCACUAGUAGUUUUUCUCAACUGCAGCCAGUGGUCAGUGGCUUAACUUGUGUGUGAGAGACAGGAACAUUUUCAGGAACAUUCUGAUUUGUGUGGGUUAUGUGCAUUUAAGGCAGUCACUCUCACCCAGGAGUGAUUUUGCACUCUAGGGGACUCUGGGUAAUGCCUGAGGACGUUUUAGAUUGUCCUCGCUUGAGAGGUGGUACUAGCACCCAGUGAGUAAAAACCAGGGACGCUGCUAAACAUCCCACAAUGUAUAGAACAACCCCCACAACAAAGAAUUCUCUGACCCUCAUGUCAAUAUGUCAGUAGUGCUGAGGCUGAGAAACCCUGAGUACGCGUUGGCUCCAAUUUUCCAAGCCAUUUUAAACUGUAGAGAAAGACUUCUGGAUCAAGAAAUAAGAUGUAAUGAACAAUAAUAAUUUGUACCACUUGUAAUCUGUAUAGGCUCUAUUUAUUAUCCUUUUAUACAGAAGUGAAUGCUGAGAUUUAGAUAGAAACAUGUCAUUUUUUUUUCCAGGGCUCCAGUAGUGAUGAGACAGGUCUAGGGUCUUAAUCUGUCUUCUAUUUAAGUCUUUCUCUGCAUCAGAAAAAUGAUACUUCAGUGAAGUUAUCAACCUUAAAACAGGUAAAUGUGUCUGUUGUGAAGCACUUUGGAAGCAUAUUCAGUUCAUGUGACCCUAUUAAGGAUGUUUUUCAAGCUGAUCAACAAUAUACAGCAAGGUGAUCUCAGAAAUGAAGCAAAAAUCAGGGCAAGAGUGCUUAGAACAGGCCAACAGUUUUAUCAUCUUUUAACUGCUCACUGUGUGCUUUGGGUUGAAUAUCUUCACCGAAGAUGGUAUUUAUAUCUUAGAAAAUAUGAUUGUCAGGCUCACACAGAUGGCCCCCAUGCUCUUGUUUUCAGAGAAAUGACAAGUCUAAGCCCAGGUCCUGGCUACUGAAUCUUAUUUUUCCAUUUGUAUUUACUGCCUAUAUUAGAGCACAAAACAGAUUUGUAUCUUAAGUCAUUUGACAUUUUUCUUUUAAUUUAUCAAACUUACAUCCCAGUGAUUGACUAAAGGUCCAGUCAUUCUACCUCCAGUUUAUGCAAGGGAAACCGAAGACCAGAGAACUGAAGUCAGACGUCCAUUUAUUUGUGCAUUCACUCACCGGUAUUUGUGUAAUGCAUACCAUGUUCUGGUCACCACAAGGAGCAUUAUAAUCUCCUAGGGAGUUGGACUUGGGAUCCAUUCAGUUCAGUUCAGUCGCUCAGUCAUGUCCGAUUCUUUGCGACCCCAUGAAUCGCAGCACGCCAGGCCUCCCUGUCCAUCACCAACUCCCGGAGUUCACUCAGACUUUCAGAUCAAGUUCAAAUUCUGGGCUAACAUUACUUCUGUAUGUAGCUCUGAUCAACAUUUCAGAUUUAUGGUUUAAAUACUAAGUUAUGAAUAAUGUAGACGAUAAAUUGUUAGUAUGCACCAGAAACUACUAGGUGUUUUCUAUGCCUUAUCUUCUUUAAUCCUAGAAUAACUUAAAGAGGCAGACGCUGUUACUGUCCUCUUUUUACAGGUGAGGUCAUUGAGACGUGGAAAGGUAGAGUGGCACAUAGCUUGACAAUGCGGAGACAGAUUCUCAUCUGGGUUUGUUAGACUCUGAAGGCUCGCAACCACCUCUGAUAUGAACUCUCCUCUCUUCUGGAUUUCACCUUGGUAUAGCUUCUUCUGGUCUAAGCCAAAGGUAGCCAGGAUGAUUCUAGCCUGACAUUCUUUCUGCAAAUUGUCAGCUAUUUUGUGUUGUAAGUUCCACUAGACAUGCAAACCCCUAGGAGAUCAAGGAGAAGCAAGUCUGGGGGGAGGGGUACCACGGACUGUACCUGAUGGUAAAAAUGCUAUCGAGGGCUUUGUUUUAGAACAAGUAUCUAGUGAGUACUGAGCCCCAUCACACCCACAGGGGUAAGAUAGCUUCCAUGUCAGGGGGUUGGCACCCACGCUGCUGGCUGUGCUGUUUACAGGAGAUCAGAGCAAGUUUCAGGAGAGGUAAGAUGACUGUCUGUAUAGGAGCGCAUGUGUGCACAUGCAUGUAUAUGGCAUUUUUACAUUUGGGCUCAGUUUUAGUUCCUGGCAGGUCAGAAAUCCAAACAUGAUUUGACUGCCCCUAGCAUCUUAUUAUUAUUGUUCUGAGUUGGAAAAAAGAGGCAGCUAGAGAAAAGAAACUGCACUGAAAUAUAUGACUCUGUGUGUGUGUUGAGGAGUGUGUGUAUACUUGUAUGUUGUGUAUGUGUGUUUAUGUAUAAAUUUUGUGUAUAUAUGUAUAUAUGUGUGUACAUCUAUCUAAAUGUAUAUAUAUAUAUAUAUCUAUACAUUUAUAUAUACACAUAAACAAAUCUUUGUUUGAAACUGUUUGGAAUUUUGAGUUUGAAAGACUGACAAUUUUAUUUUUAUUUCCUAGAGAGUCUAAAAUACUUCUAAUUUCCAAAAUCCUUUUUCACUAUGAGUAUAUGUAUAUAUCUAUGGUACAGAAAAUAUGAUUAGAAUACCUAGGUUUAACAUCUAUGGAUGCAAAACCAAACAAAAGUGUGUUUAUGGAAAAGUCAAACUUGGAAAAACUGGCUUUCUUAUUUGAACCAUUUGUUGGAAUUUCAAAUUAUGUGUUUUCAGAUUUGUUCAUUAAACAAUAGCACACAUACAACCCACCAAAUAAACAUGAUGAUGUUUAGGAAGAAACAAAUAAGAAAAUGUGGGUCUAUGAUGGCACAAAUCCAAUGGUUAUCAUGCCAAUGGUACUUCACUUACCUACCUAUUGGUUAAUUUACUAUCUUAUUGAUUUUCCUUUCAUCAUUCAUGGAGGGCCUCUGUGGCCUUAUAUAUUUGUAGGUGAAGUUGAUUAUCUGUUUAUUUUUUAAAAAUACUAUAGUAAAUAAUUUAUAAUAUGCAUAUUGUAAAUAUAUACUAAAGCUCAAGGGCACAUUGUAAUAAUAACCAAACAUUUUUCUAGACUUCUACAAGUAACCCUUUCAGCUUGAUUAUACAGAUACCAAAAUAGUUGCUCAAAGAAAGAACAACAUAUAGUUAAAUGAAAUAAAAUGUUACUUAUUUGUUUUGGCAUGGUACAUGCAUACAACCAAAUGACUGAAAUUUGAGCUCUUUCAAGGAUACAGUAAGUUGCGUUUUCAUUCACUGCCAUGUGCUUUGCAUAUUUUGGAGAAUAUGAAAAGUGUUUUAAACCAACCUAUGCAAAAGAGCUUCCCUGGUGCUCCUUGGGAUCAGUUUGUACGCACACAAGACCAUACCUUUAGAAACAGCCUGGCUCCCAGCCCAGGGCUCAACUGAUGGUUCAAGCACAGACGCCUCCUCCCAGGGACCUGUCAGGUUUGCUCACACAGUCAUAAACAUUCGCAAACCUAUCGAGUAUGGUCAUUCAUUUAUUUUUCCCCCAGAGUAUCCCUGAAGAUGUGGUCUUAAAAGCACCAGAAAGAAAAUAAAUCUUGCAGCAAUUACAUGUUUUAAUUAGGUUUAAGGACACUUGAAGAAGUAAUGGUUGUUUUCCCCCCAAAUUUUAGAGCAGAGGAGGAGGUUUAACAUCAACCUUGGCUUCAAGUUCUCCUAUCAUUUUCCUUUCAUUCAUUUUUAUUCUAAAGGAGAUUGUUGAAUCAAGAGAAUUUUGCUUAGAAUAUUCUUCUUAGUUUAGAAAAGAACAGAUUCAUGUUGUUUUUUUCUGUAAAACAUGAGGGGUGAAGAAGUGGGGGUGCCCAAAACCCCUCAUUACCCUGUUUCUGAUGUAAGAAAAUGGAUUCAGUAAUUACUGGAGUGGUAUCCUACUUAAAACCCAGAAAUGGAAACCUAGGGGAGCCCCAUUUCAGAGUCCUGUUGAAAGCUGUUAAUGGGAUAAGUUGUAAGUGGGUCACCACUUAGAUUAACAAUGGCAUCUUGCUUCUUUCUCUGGUAGGAACUUAGUCUGUAAAAUCAAGAAUCUUUGUGUUGACUGAAGGAAUUGAACUAAUGAUCUCCAUGAUUUCCUGUUCCCCGGGUCUUUCAGAACCAACAGAGCACUGGAUAGAACCUAACAAACAUAUCAUUUGUCCAAAUUAAACUGACAUGUUUCAAUAGUAUCAGGACCACUCUCAAUACUUAUAAAGACUAUUGAUUAGGAUAGCUGGGUAUUUCCAAGUACAGUUUGCCAGGGAUUAUUAAGCUCCUCUGACAUCCAUCUUGGAUGCUUUGAAGGCAAUGUCACCAUAGAUAGAGGAGUCUGAAUUUUGCUGGAACUAACCCUGAGUGGUGAUCUACUGGGGCCUUGCUCAUGUUACUUUUUCUUGACCUCAUUCAAGUGCUUGAUGAGUUGGGUCAGUUUGUUGCACAUUGAUGUAUACCAAGUGACACCCACUGAAAUUACCUCUUCUCCUUUCCAAUGCAGUUCACUUGUACAUAAGUGUAAUGUCAAAUUGUUUACAGGUUCUUUUUGUGUGUAAUUGUGAUAGCAGAUUUAGCUCAGACUUUAAAGGAAUCUGUUUACUGAAUGGUGUUAAAAUGAAUGUGCUUAUUACAGUAUAACAUCAUUAAUUAUGGACUCACAUGAAUGCAUGUUUUCAUGUCGUCGAUUCCCAGCAGCUCGGUUAUCCAGCAAAAUGUCUGCAGUCUGUGAAUAGCAAAUAUACAUAAACUACUGUGAUUAAUAACUCAGUAACUGUUUCUACCUUGGUAUGUAACACUAGAUUUUAGCCUGCUGUAUUUCUUUCUUACCUAUUUGUUUUGCAAGAGAAACAUGGUAAAAGAUAGCACUACUAAUUGUCCCAAUGGAAUUGCGCAUCAUUUUGGCAAUUGUUGCUCCACCCAAAAGGUAACUGCCUGUGAUGGAACAAUGGCCCUGAGCAACAUAUAAAUAUAUACAUACAUAUUUAUGUAUGCAAUAUCUACAAUGCUAAUUACUACCAUCUAUUCUCACUGCCAAUGGAAACAAACCAUUUUCUUUGGAAUCAUUGAUGGAUAUAAAAAGUUUAAUUUGCUACUAACUGCUUUCAUAUUCUGUUUAGUUCUUAUAGUAUGGUAAAUGAUACAGGUGCAGUAUCAGUAUUGUAAAAUUGUGUGGUGAAAACUACAAAAGUCAUUCUGUGGAUAUAUUUUACAAGGCAGACCAGAAAUUAUAUUUCAGAUUCUUGUGUGAAUAUAAUUACAGAAAUAGGUAACUAUUUUUUAUGUGUUUGCAUAAAUGACUCCAUUUCAUAUACAUUGUAAUUUAGCACCAAUCAUAAUAAAUCAUUUGGUAACAUUUAGUUGUUAGAGAUAUCUAUUUUCAGUACACAUGAGAGACUGAUGAUUCAACAUUAUUUCACACUAACUCAAGAAUUUUAGAUGGAAGGUAAUUACCAUUGCAAUUAGUUUAUUUCUGGUUUGUUGUGGCAGCUUGCUGGCUUGGGGUACAAAAUAAGGAGACUUAAUAAGUUGGUUAUUUAAAAUUCUUAGAAUGAGACUACAGUAAGUUGAGGCCUUGCCACUGCCUCUUCAUAAUUGGGUGGCCUUAUGCUAUUUAUCAAGCCUCUUUGAACUGCUGUUUCCUCAUCUGAAAAUAGGGAGUAAAAAUGAU